rnacentral:tRNA from 1 species
AUAAGCGGUAGAGCACUCGGCUGUUAACCGAGUUGUUGUAGGUUCGAGCCCUACUCGGG